ensembl:lncRNA
ACUUAAUUCUGACAAGGGCCUCUGAUAUAUUCUCUCUGAAGUGCUGAUGUUAGCAGUAGUCAGUAGGUAGUAUAUUCAAUUAGCCUCAGGUAUAAAAGGGGUGCUCCAGACUCCUUUUCAUCCUCAUGGCCUCCUCUGGACAACAGCUCCACAUCUCUCUUGUGCUGUGGGCUCCAGGUCUGGAUGCAGUACUGCAGGUCUGAGAACAGACUUCCUACAUUCAGUUUUGUCUUUACAAAUGCAGAGGAUAGAAGCUUUCUUUUAUCACUGAAAGUUCUGACUGUUCAAAUCUAUGAUUAAAAAAGCUGAAGCUUAAAAAUGAAAGAGUUCAGACUUCACAGGGCCCAUGAUAACAUCUGAAAGAAAAGUUUGUUCAAGAUGACUAUUAAACUCAGUGAUACUAAUGUGAAAGAAGUUUAAGAUAUUAUGAGCAUGUCUGUCUGUUGCUUUUAGACUAUAAGGAGAUAUGAAGGAAUUAUUUUUUUCUUUCUAUAUAAAAUAUCAAGAGCUUUCAUUUUUUCCAACAUAUAUUUGAGUUAUCACAGUAACAACAUCACUCCAAUUAUAGGUCAGCCAAUGUCCUGUCACAUUCAGCAAGCAAUUAUAAAUAGAACUGUCCAUCUUUAACUUGAAAUGUGUAUUUUAAUGUUUCUUGAUUGGAUGGCAAGAACAGCUCUGAAAUCUAUCCUACAGUGGCUGUACAAAUACCCAUUUAAAAAUUGGGAAUAUUCCACUUUUGUCAGCAUCUUCACAGUAUAAAUCACUAUGAACUUCAAGUGCAUAUUAUGGUGGUUGGCAGAAUUUUUAUGCGACUCCCCACAAGAUACAGCAAGGGGCUAGUAGAUUUAGAAUUCCUUGACACAUUAUAUUCAGAAAUUUUAAUGGCAGUUAUGUUUCUCUUGAUGAUGUUAAAUCAUCAACUUGUUAUUAGUUGCCCAUCUCUUAACACACAGGGAAGAAAGUGCAAACUGAGGAGCUGUUGCUCCUCAUUUUACUUGAAAAAUUCUCUCUUAUUAUCUGUUGCAGUUAUAAGCAAGGAAAGCUGCAGGUGGACUUAACUAAUUCAAGUGUUCUACUACUUAUUAAACUGUGAUUCAUGGAGUUUC